AAGACCCCAUGCGUCGCGGA
rnacentral:rRNA from 1 species